rnacentral:rRNA from 1 species
UGGGGAAUUUUGGACAACGGGGGAAACCCUGAUCCAGCCAUCCCGCGUGUGCGAUGAAGGCCUUCGGGUUGUAAAGCACUUUUGGCAGGAAAGAAACGUCGCGGGUUAAUACCCCGCGAAACUGACGGUACCUGCAGAAUAAGCACCGGCUAACUACGUGCCAGCAGCCGCGGUAAUACGUAGGGUGCAAGCGUUAAUCGGAAUUACUGGGCGUAAAGCGUGCGCAGGCGGUUCGGAAAGAAAGAUGUGAAAUCCCAGAGCUUAACUUUGGAACUGCAUUUUUAACUACCGGGCUAGAGUGUGUCAGAGGGAGGUGGAAUUCCGCGUGUAGCAGUGAAAUGCGUAGAUAUGCGGAGGAACACCGAUGGCGAAGGCAGCCUCCUGGGAUAACACUGACGCUCAUGCACGAAAGCGUGGGGAGCAAACAGGAUUAGAUACCCUGGUAGUCCACGCCCUAAACGAUGUCAACUAGCUGUUGGGGCCUUCGGGCCUUGGUAGCGCAGCUAACGCGUGAAGUUGACCGCCUGGGGAGUACGGUCGCAAGAUUAAAACUCAAAUGAAUUGAC